UAGAUGGGAUUAUAGCAUGGCAAAAUGAGGAAACCACUGACAAGUGAAUAGUUUGCACAAUGGAAGACCACCUUGACCAUCUCAUGACUUUAUACAGGAAUCAGGUGGGUAAGUGUUCCUUUAAAGUGAUUUUGUCGUAGAAGAGUCAUCUGAAAUGACUCUCGUGAUGGAGGAAUUCAGCAUAUUUUUAACUUGUCUAACCAGUCGGCAAUUUCUGUCUACAGUUCUAAAUCAUUACUUCUCUUUAUUAUUUCUAGAUCUUAUGAAAUAAUGGACAUGUUUUGGAGGAUGGGAGAGGUAAUAUGUGUCAGAAGAAUAAAUACCACUAUAUCAGAUAUAUGUAUUACUAUGUGUAUCAGAAGAAUGCAUAUUAUUUCUCUCAUCUUUCAAAACAUGUUCCAUUCCUUCAUAAUAUCUAAAAAUGAUAUAACAUUAGAAAAUUGGUGAAAGGUUUUCCUAUUGACCUACUUAUAAAUGGUUUAUUUAUAUAUUCAGGGUAAUUACUUGUGCUUAAAACUGUUUUCAAGACAAAUUAGAACUGUGCCAUUGUCCAUAUAAAAGAAGGUGCUUCUUUUUAAUUAAUUUCUAUUCAUAAAUAAUUCUAAAAAUUAUUUCACUGAACAUUCAAGAAUAUAAAAAGAAUACUGUAGUAAACCAGCUGGUGGGUAGGGCAAUGAGGAUAAACUCCGGCAAAAGAACAUAAGUUAGGAAAUUUGUAACAUAAACUUAGGUUAUACGUCUGAAUUACCCUAGAUAGUUAGUCUAUGGAAUACAAGACUGUAUACAGCCUCAGCUAGAAGCACAUUUAUUAAGCAAACAUUAUGAAAGAGAUGCUGAAAUAAUUAAUCAGAUAGGAAUUGGGUAUAAUAUUUCUUUGGGAAUGUUCUCCAAUACUUGGGAGUCAAAAUAACAGGUAAUCCUCACUUCCAUUCUUUGUCUUCUCAAUAUGCAUCCCUGUAUCUUGCAAGGUAUUUAGCAAACUAAAGUACAUUUACCAGCGUCCUCACACCUUUAAUGAGGCAAGGUAGCCAAUUUUUGGAUGAUGACAUGUUAACAUAAGUAAUGUAUGCAGCAUCUAAAAGAAAUGUGUGUGACCUUUUACCCCU